UACAGAGGUCUCAAGCGUUGUUCGGAUUCAUUGGGCGUAAAGGGUGCGUAGGCGGCGCGGUAAGUCGGGUGUGAAAUCUCGGGGCUUAACUCCGAAACUGCAUUCGAUACUGCCGUGCUUGAGGCCGGGAGAGGCGAGUGGAAUUCCCAGUGUAGCGGUGAAAUGCGUAGAUAUUGGGAGGAACACCAGUGGCGAAGGCGGCUCGCUGGACCGGUUCUGACGCUGAUGCGCGAAAGCGUGGGGAGCAAACGGG
rnacentral:rRNA from 1 species